GCGCCUGUAGCUCAGCUGGACAGAGCACCGGACUUCUAAUCCGACGGUCGCAGGUUCGAAUCCUGCCAGGCGCG
rnacentral:tRNA from 1 species